AGAGUGAGGGAGGGUGUGACUAGUGACAGAGAGAGGGAGGGGGUGAUUAGUGACAGAGGGAGGGAGGGGGUGACUAGUGAGUCACCACCUCCUUCACUCUGUCACUGUGUCACCCCCUUCCUCACUCUGUCACUAGUCACCCCUUCCUUCCCUCACUCUGCCACUAGUCACCCCUUCCCUCACUCUGUCACCUGUCAACCCCUCACUCUGUCACUAGUCACCCCCUCACUCU